rnacentral:rRNA from 1 species
GAGUUUGAUCGUGGCUCAGAUUGAACGCUGGCGGCAUGCCUUACACAUGCAAGUCGAACGGUAACAGGUUAAGCUGACGAGUGGCGAACGGGUGAGUAAUACAUCGGAACGUGCCCAGACGUGGGGGAUAGCUCGGCGAAAGCCGGAUUAAUACCGCAUGUGAUCUGAGGAUGAAAGCGGGGGACCGUAAGGCCUCGCGCGUUUGGAGCGGCCGAUGGCAGAUUAGGUAGUUGGUGGGGUAAAGGCUUACCAAGCCUACGAUCUGUAGCUGGUCUGAGAGGACGACCAGCCACACUGGGACUGAGACACGGCCCAGACUCCUACGGGAGGCAGCAGUGGGGAAUUUUGGACAAUGGGCGCAAGCCUGAUCCAGCAAUGCCGCGUGCAGGAUGAAGGCCUUCGGUUG